AUUGAACGCUGGCGGCAGGCCUAACACAUGCAAGUCGAGCGGUAGCACAGAGAGCUUGCUCUCGGGUGACGAGCGGCGGACGGGUGAGUAAUGUCUGGGAAACUGCCUGAUGGAGGGGGAUAACUACUGGAAACGGUAGCUAAUACCGCAUAACGUCGCAAGACCAAAGUGGGGGACCUUCGGGCCUCAUGCCAUCAGAUGUGCCCAGAUGGGAUUAGCUAGUAGGUGGGGUAAUGGCUCACCUAGGCGACGAUCCCUAGCUGGUCUGAGAGGAUGACCAGCCACACUGGAACUGAGACACGGUCCAGACUCCUACGGGAGGCAGCAGUGGGGAAUAUUGCACAAUGGGCGCAAGCCUGAUGCAGCCAUGCCGCGUGUGUGAAGAAGGCCUUCGGGUUGUAAAGCACUUUCAGCGGGGAGGAAGGCGGUGAGGUUAAUAACCUCAUCGAUUGACGUUACCCGCAGAAGAAGCACCGGCUAACUCCGUGCCAGCAGCCGCGGUAAUACGGAGGGUGCAAGCGUUAAUCGGAAUUACUGGGCGUAAAGCGCACGCAGGCGGUCUGUCAAGUCGGAUGUGAAAUCCCCGGGCUCAACCUGGGAACUGCAUUCGAAACUGGCAGGCUAGAGUCUUGUAGAGGGGGGUAGAAUUCCAGGUGUAGCGGUGAAAUGCGUAGAGAUCUGGAGGAAUACCGGUGGCGAAGGCGGCCCCCUGGACAAAGACUGACGCUCAGGUGCGAAAGCGUGGGGAGCAAACAGGAUUAGAUACCCUGGUAGUCCACGCCGUAAACGAUGUCGAUUUGGAGGUUGUGCCCUUGAGGCGUGGCUUCCGGAGCUAACGCGUUAAAUCGACCGCCUGGGGAGUACGGCCGCAAGGUUAAAACUCAAAUGAAUUGACGGGGGCCCGCACAAGCGGUGGAGCAUGUGGUUUAAUUCGAUGCAACGCGAGGAACCUUACCUGGUCUUGACAUCCACAGAACUUUCCAGAGAUGGAUUGGUGCCUUCGGGAACUGUGAGACAGGUGCUGCAUGGCUGUCGUCAGCUCGUGUUGUGAAAUGUUGGGUUAAGUCCCGCAACGAGCGCAACCCUUAUCCUUUGUUGCCAGCGGUCCGGCCGGGAACUCAAAGGAGACUGCCAGUGAUAAACUGGAGGAAGGUGGGGAUGACGUCAAGUCAUCAUGGCCCUUACGACCAGGGCUACACACGUGCUACAAUGGCAUAUACAAAGAGAAGCGACCUCGCGAGAGCAAGCGGACCUCAUAAAGUAUGUCGUAGUCCGGAUUGGAGUCUGCAACUCGACUCCAUGAAGUCGGAAUCGCUAGUAAUCGUAGAUCAGAAUGCUACGGUGAAUACGUUCCCGGGCCU
rnacentral:rRNA from 1 species